CCUGCAACACUGUUUGGUGAGGAUUGCCAAGGAGGAAGACUAGAACAGGCAAGAGCAGCGCUAAUCAGUGACAGAGCAUGAUGCCAUCCAGAUGGGACAAGAUAAGUAAGCAGUCUUAUAUAGUUUGCCCACUCGAGUUUUGUAUAUCUUGACAUAAAUGAAUUAUGCAAAUGUUGCUAGAGUUCUUUUAGGUUGAAGCUUUUGCUUAGUUCAGUGUUGCUAUCGGAAAGCUAAAAUUAUUUUCUUGCCACCUCCUCUGCAUUGUUUUACUGCUUCAGCUCCUGGUGCUUCUAAUCGAGUACUAUAGAAAGCAUCUCUCUUGAAUAAAUCGUUGUGUGCAAAUAUAGGGUGCUUAUAUAAUCCAUCAUUAGAGUACGAGGCGUGCUUUAUUCUAUGUGCUUCCCACAAAAAAGAGUAGCCUAUUAUAAACUUUGUAUUAGAGCACUUGACGUUCUAAGUUUUGACCACAUUUCUCUACUAUUAUAAUGCAGCCAUAAAGAUUCAAUUUUUAUGUUGGGCACCAUAAAGAUGUUUGGCACCAUUCUUCCCAAACAUUUUUCUACUAUUAUAAUGUGUGCUUUAUUCAAUUUUUAGGAUUGUUAGGGGUGAAGUCUUAGUCUCAAGAUAGCAUAUUGUUGUUUGCCUAUAUUAUUUAGUGUCGAUUAUAAUUAGUAUUGUUGUUUAGUGCUUGGUUCAUACUACAUCUAGGCAGUGUUCUAAAAGUUUGGGAGGAAUGGAAUAGGAUAACGGUCGGCUAACAUACAUCUUUUUUUCAGCAGCCGUGGUAAUGAAUUUGAAUACUGUAGUUACUAUAAUGAAUGUUUUUUAACUUCUCUACUCUUCUUUACUAAUCUUUUAGAACUGUGUCCUUUUCUAUUAUUUCUAUUACUUCAUUGUGUUGAUUAUCUUGGUGUUUAUACUCGUCUUCAGUUGUUCUCUGUGCCAACUGUGGUCUUGUACGAGCCUUCUCUUUGGUAGCCUAAUAGGAUUUUGUGUCUUUUGUUUAUCUCUGGUAUUUAAUCUUAUACUAAAUUGGCUCGUUUGAUUUUCAGGGCAUGUUAUGGUGUUCUCUGGUUUGUCAUCGAGAAUAGCUCUUCCUCUUUCGUCAAGGGUUUCACCAAUGGCUUGUAACAACUGGAUGUAGAACGAUUUUUAUUUUUUAACCGAUGUAGUGUGUUUUUGCAUUACAG
rnacentral:lncRNA from 1 species